AGUCCAGCGCAGUGGUUAGGGUAUUGGACUACUGAUCAGAAGGUUUUGAGUUCAAAUCCCAGCACCA